CAGGGUUAGUCGGUCAGCUCCUCUAGCUCCUCUUCGACCCCACUCCAGCCCCUGUCCAGCCCCCUGUCCAGCCCCUCUCCUCUCGCUAUGGGUCUCCCAGAGCAGCCGCUUUACUUUUCCGAAGCUUGAGCCCGCUGAGGCGGCAAUAAGCCCGACUAUAAACCCGGCAGUGGCCGGGCUGCGCUCCUGUCACCAUAGCGCGUGGUGGGCUCAGAGCCGGCUGAGAGUGAUGUCCACAUCUGGGUGGGCUUGGUGCGUGCACACACACUGCUCUGGGUUUGGGGUCUGCGGAGGGAUUUGAGCUCCGGGAAAAAUUCUGCUGUUUGUGGUUCACGUAAAACGCUGGACACGGGCAUCAGAUCUGUCUCGGCUGUGGAUGACACGGACCUGAGUCACUUUUAGGUGCAAGGCAGCUGGGCAGGACGCAGGUGGUCGUCUGGCCUUAGGGCAGGGAGGAGUGGUGAGAUGAGCGUUACACAGGGUGGGCUGCGGCAAACGGAGCGCACCGCCUGGUUUGCUGUGUCUAGGAGCCGCAGGCGGGGGAACUACGCACGCACACUCCAAUCUCAUUAAAUCUUAACACAUCGCUCUUAGAAAGAGGGGGUCAUAGCCACUGCGCAUCAUUGUCCUCACAUCCCCCAACCCUGUGGCCGCCCUGUGCAGAGGGAAGCUGACAAAAUCGGACCCUGGGUAACAUUCGGAGCCCCCCUAAACGCGUAUAAUCUCAGCUGUAUGGGUCUACACACUUCCAAGUGCCAAUACUGAACUUUGGUUCAAACUUUGGACAACUAUCGCCACGCGCGAUGGCUCAACCAUUUGGGUAUCCACUGAAUGGUCCAGAUGGGUCGCCACAGUCAACUCAAUCCCCUCCGACCCCAGCGCUGGGUCAGCCAUUGGGCUGGGGUCACGCCAAUCAAGGCUGCCUGGCGAAUGAGCAGGGGCCGUCAGACCGGAAAACGGAUAUGAGUGGGAGGUCCAAUAGGGGGCGCCGCGUUGGAACGCCCUAAGAGGCUGUGCUGCUGGGGUGGUUGAAAGCGGUUGGUAGGCGGCGUAUGGUGACCAGGCCUGGGGAUGCCACGAGGCUGGCUGAUGCCGUGGGGGCACUCUUCCUGAUGCCCCAAGUCACAAAGGCUGAAAGGGGGGGUCGGGGCUGUCAGGGGCCGACCCUCGUUCUCGCUGAUGGCGGUGGCCAAACCCCCCCUAACACAGGGAUCCGCCGCUGGGGGCGAGGCGAGGAGGAUUUCCAUGGCCUGGAGGUAGAGGGCCAAGACCCUGAGGAGAGAGGGGGCUCAGUGCCCCCGAUGCAGAGGAGCUGCCCCAGAUGGAUAAGGAGUUGAGGGCCCGGGGAUGCUGAGCCCUGCCAAGUGGAAGUGACUGGCUACCAGAAUCUGAAAACCCCAAAUCACUUGGGUGACUGGGGGUCAGAGCUGAAACUCUACCUCAGAUCAGCAGUGGGACUUGAAAGACCCCAGAAGUGUGGCCAGAUGUUUGAAGAGCUGACUCACUCGAAAGGCAGCUGGGUAGCCUGGCCCCAAGGAUCCAAGGACCCAGUGUGGAGAAUCCCUGGGGCGAGGGUUCCCACGGCCCUCCGCCUGGACAGCUCUUGGACCUGCUCUUGGACUUGGCCACGUGGUCACAGGCCGCAGCGAUUGUGUCAAGGCAGAAGGGCCGGUCCUGCCAGCCUGGACUCCCCAGGGUCAGUCGUGCGUGUGGCCCUGUUGUGGAGGCCUGCCACGAGGUAGGACGUGGCCAGAGCACAGGCGACAGGGCGUGAGGCGGCCGCCCCAGUGAUGCCUGUGACCACGGAGGCCUCGCCUUCUGCUUUGCUUAGGGGUGAGCUGCCAGCGCCUUUCUGAUCUGCAGCCUUCGACGAGAACUGGGGCGGCUGACCUGCGCACAGGUCAGGGCAGCGACAUCCUUUCAGAGAAGCCUUCGGAAGAUGGAAUGUCAGGCCCACGUCACGCGUGAGGCCGCAGCAGAGCUGGGACCGAGUUCUCCCUCACGUGCCCCGAGCCUGCGCCAAGACCCCACCGGCCCACGUCCAGAGGCUGUUCCCUCCCUCAGUGGACGGCGCUGCCUUUGGGCUGGGGAAGCAGGCACGUGCUUGAAUGGGGCGGGAAGGGCGGCGGAGGGAGGCUCUUUGGUUUAUGGUCCUGGAAGAUGCUAGGGUGCAGAGAGGGGGUGCCAGCACCUUGACAUCCAUGUUGGUCUGGGGCCACCCUCGGCCUCUGUGGGGGGUGGGGCUGGGAGGGGGCGUUAGGCACAGCCCUGUGGGAAGUGACAAUGAAGGACCCUUCCGGAGGGCCCCCCCCCAAUCCUGUUGUGCUUGAUUCAGAGGGUUGGGUGGAGGCUUUCCUGAAGGCUCUGAGAAGCGCUGCGCCCACAGGCUGUGUCAGGGCAGGACGUGGGACAGGGAAAGGCCGCCCAGCUCGGCCUGGUCGCGCCGCUGCUCCGGGCCGCAGUGUCUCCCACCGCCUGGAGUACAGCCCACCUCAACUCUGGCCUCGGGCGUCUGCCACCCCCAAGAGGCCCCCGCCGUUCUUCGGCCCGCAGCUGUCUGCAGCCUGCACCUGGGCCUGCUCCUCCCCUUCUGGGGGCCUUCUCACCGUCACCCUGGUGGCCCACUUGGCCUGGCCAGCCCUCCCCACCUUUAGGAAGCCCCUCAACGUGCAGCCCUCCUCACCAGGCAUCACAAGCCCCUCAUCCAGGUCCCUGUGCUGGAUGCUUGUUUGCUGCCCGCUCUGCAGAGUGCUCUGUUCUCCAGCUUCUGUCUCCAUGCGGGGCACACAGUAGGUGCCUAAUAAAUCUGUAGAACGAGUAAGUGGCCAUCUUUCUCUCUGUUCAUUCCCUGUAGAGCUUUCUCUGCUCCACUUGUGCAAACCCUAGAAGCAUGUGUGUGUGCAUUUGGGCUCAUCCGCCCUUCCCAGUUUGCUUCUAACUCACGGUUGAUACUUUGGGGGUCCCCUGACACCUGCUUCCUCCACCCGAGACCAAGUCAGGCCCCCACUGCCCUUUCUCUCAUCACAGUUUGCUCUCUUCCUUCAUGGUAUUUAUCACAGCACGGAACCAUGUGCUUGUUUUCUUAAUGCCCAUCUUCCUACUGCACUGAACCCCAAGGAGCAGGGCCUAUCUUUCUUGCGCAUGAAGAACAGAAUGGGCAUUCAAGUGAUUGCUGGAUGGAUGGAUGGGAGGAUGGACGGAUGGGUGGGUGGAUGGCUGGCUGGCUGGGUGGGUGGGUGGAUGGGCAGACAAAUGGGUGGACAGAACAAAAAGAUUCAGACACUUCAAUAGUUGAAACAUCUAUCACAAAUGCAGAGCCACUUCUUGACAAUUCAUGGGACACUCUGGGCACGGGCAGGAGGUACGGGGGCGGCAGAUGCUCAACAGGCUGGGGGUGGCCUGAGGGGGACCUCUGGUGCCCAGCCCUCAAGAGGUUGCUUCAUAUAGAGACUGAUGGAUGGAUGAAGAAAUGGUUCCAGAGCAGCACGUCUACACGGGUAGUGUAUCUACAUGGGUAGUGCGUCUACACAGACUAAUGCAUCUACCAGGCCACAUGUCUGCAUGGCCAGUGUGUCUUCGCGGGCUAAUGUACACGCAUUGGUUUCCUAGCUCUGUCCAGGAAAGAAGGCGGAGGAGCAACGACGCCCAGGAGCAGCAAGCACCCCCCACACUCAGAGUUUGGUUUCUAAUACCAUUUUCCAAUAAAAGGAAACAGGCUC